rnacentral:tRNA from 1 species
AAAAAGAUAAGCUAAUUAAAGCUAAUGGGUUCAUACCCCACAGAUGAAUAAAUUCUCUUUUUA